rnacentral:rRNA from 1 species
UACAGAGGUCUCAAGCGUUGUUCGGAUUCAUUGGGCGUAAAGGGUGCGUAGGCGGCGCGGUAAGUCGGGUGUGAAAUUUCGGAGCUUAACUCCGAAACUGCAUUCGAUACUGCCGUGCUUGAGGACUGGAGAGGAGACUGGAAUUUACGGUGUAGCAGUGAAAUGCGUAGAUAUCUGGAGGAACACCGGUGGCGAAGGCGGCAUCCUGGACCAACACUGACGCUGAGGAGCGAAAGCCAGGGGAGCAAAGCGGG